rnacentral:rRNA from 1 species
AUUGAAUGCUGGCGGCAUGCCUAACACAUGCAAGUCGAACGGGGGUAGCGAUACCCUAGUGGCGGACGGGUGAGGAACGCGUUAGGAAUUGGCCCACGAGUGGGGGACAACCUGGGGAAACCCAGGCUAAUACCGCAUACGCUCGCGAGAGGAAAGCGGGGGAUCUACGGACCUCGCGCUGGUGGACAAGCCUACGUCCGAUUAGCUAGUUGGCAGGGUAAAAGCCUACCAAGGGGGCACGAUCGGUAGCUGGUCUGAGAGGAUGAUCAGCCACACUGGGACUGAGACACGGCCCAGACUCCUACGGGAGGCAGCAGUGGGGAAUAUUGGACAAUGGGCGCAAGCCUGAUCCAGCAAUGCCGCGUGGGUGAAGACGGCCUGCGGGUUGUAAAGCCC